AGAUAAAUGGUCGCAGCUGAUGUAAAUCAGGUGAGGAAAGUCCGGGCUUUAUAGGGCAGGAUGCCGGAUAACAUCCGGUGGAGGUGACUCCAAGGCUAGUGCAACAGAAAUAUACCGCCAGUCUAGACUGGUAAGGGUGGAAGGGCAGUGUAAGAGACUACCGCCUUUUAGGUAACUAAGAGGGCAUAUGUAAACCCCAUCCAAAGCAAGACCGAACAAAAGCAUAUGGCGGCCCGUCAGCUUUAGGUAGGUUGCUGGAGCCUAUUGGUAACAAUAGGCCUAGAUAGAUGACCAUUCGCGACAUAACCCGGCUUAUCGUCUUGCUUU
rnacentral:RNase_P_RNA from 1 species